rnacentral:rRNA from 1 species
UACGAAGGGGGCUAGCGUUGCUCGGAAUUACUGGGCGUAAAGGGCGCGUAGGCGGCACUGUUAGUCAGGCGUGAAAUUCCUGGGCUCAACCUGGGGACUGCGCUUGAUACGGCAGAGCUUGAGGAUGGAAGAGGGUCGCGGAAUUCCCAGUGUAGAGGUGAAAUGCGUAGAUAUCCGGAGGAACACCGGUGGCGAAGGCGGCUUCCUGGACCGAUUACUGACGCUGAGGCGCGAAAGCUAGGGGAGCAAACGGG